rnacentral:rRNA from 1 species
UACGUAGGGUCCGAGCGUUGUCCGGAAUUAUUGGGCGUAAAGGGCUCGUAGGCGGUUCGUCACGUCGGGAGUGAAAACUCGGAGCUUAACUCCGAGCCUGCUUCCGAUACGGGCAGACUAGAGGUAGGCAGGGGAGAGCGGAACUCCUGGUGUAGCGGUGGAAUGCGCAGAUAUCAGGAAGAACACCCGUGGCGAAGGCGGCCCCCCUGGGUCGGCCCUGACGCUGAGGCGCGAAAGCGUGGGGAGCGAACAGG